UACGGAGGGUGCAAGCGUUAUCCGGAUUCACUGGGUUUAAAGGGUGCGUAGGAGGGCAGGUAAGUCAGUGGUGAAAUCUCCAAGCUUAACUUGGAACUGCCGUUGAUACUAUCUGUCUUGAAUAUCGUGGAGGUAAGCGGAAUAUGUCAUGUAGCGGUGAAAUGCUUAGAGAUGACAUAGAACACCAAUUGCGUAGGCAGCUUACUACACGAUCAUUGACGCUGAGGCACGAAAGCGUGGGGAGCAAACAGG
rnacentral:rRNA from 1 species